GCUGCUUGUACCAUCAACUAGUUUCUCAUUUUCUUUUUUGCUUAAGGGAUGGAAUGAGCGGUUCAUGGCCUUGAUAUUGUGGUGCAAGAUAAUAGUGGAAACAUAUUCAGGGGCUGGAAUGAAAACUCAAGAUGAUCUUGCUGCUACCAGCAGAGCUGAGCGAGAAGCAACCAAAAGAGAUGAAAUAUCAAGAUACUGCAUCAUGGAUUACCAGUUCACCUGUUUGCUCUGCUCGUGAGCCAUGAGAUAGUAAUUGCCAUCUUGGUUGUUGAUAUCUGCUGUUCCUGAAAGGGCCUCCAAAAGUUGGAAGUGAUGCGGAUAACCAGAUAAGCUGCUGUUCCUUUUGCCUCGAGUCCAUUAUUGGUUGGCUGAUCGCGAUGUUAAAUCACCAGUGUACUGGUCACUUAUCUGAAUGCUUUGAUGUCUGUCCAUCAGGUAACAAGUCACAUUUUAAUGAGAUAGUAUAUCGUUCGCUGGAACUUUUUUUUCGACAAAACGCAAAAAGCCUUUGCGUUUCAUUUCAUUGAACAGAGAGAAGGUUUACGGUUACAAGCCCCCUAAGGGGUGAUACGACACGGUUGGGGAGGGAAGAAAAACAGGGUGGGCUAGUGUACAUCCCAGGUCUGGGGUAGGAUCAUGCGUAGCCCUAGGGCUCCUGCCCUUGCCCAAAGAGCGGCUUCCUCCUUGAUGUUGUUGACGACGGUGCUAAUGGAGGGUUGGGCUCCAUUGAACACGCAGUCAUUUCGCUGGAACUUGGCUGCCCUCUUUGUGCAGCUCAUUUAACUGGGCCCAGUAGUGGCCAUUCAUCCAGCAAUUUGUAGCUUGUCAGAACCUCUGGUUUGGUGUAUGCACUCAGUGAUCACAGGGUAAUCUGCAUACCAGUUACGCCGAUGACAUGAGGUGGGGAUGGUCUCGCCAACACCUUCGUCCCUACACGUGCCUCCUCUAGAGCUCUCCUCCUUCAGCGUUAGAAGUGUAGGACAGUCUGUGUUUGCUCAUGAGAUUGCUGGCUUGCUGACAUGCAUUGGUUAGCCUGAUUGGAUCUAAUUGGUUGGUUUGGGGAAUGGGCUGCUCGUAGUACCAUCAGACAGUUCUGCGUUUCUUGUUUGGCUCGAAGCAUAGAAUGAGCAGUCUACGUGAUAUUGUGAUGCACAAUAAAAAUGGAAAUUGACUCGGGGGCUAAAAUCAAAACUCAAAGAUGAU